rnacentral:rRNA from 1 species
AGUGAACGCUGGCGGUAGGCCUAACACAUGCAAGUCGAACGGCAGCACAGUAAGAGCUUGCUCUUACGGGUGGCGAGUGGCGGACGGGUGAGGAAUACAUCGGAAUCUACUUUUUCGUGGGGGAUAACGUAGGGAAACUUACGCUAAUACCGCAUACGACCUACGGGUGAAAGCAGGGGAUCUUCGGACCUUGCGCGAUUGAAUGAGCCGAUGUCGGAUUAGCUAGUUGGCGGGGUAAAGGCCCACCAAGGCGACGAUCCGUAGCUGGUCUGAGAGGAUGAACGGCAACAGAGAAACUGGGACACGGUCCAAACGCCUACGGGAGGCAGCGUUGGGGAAUAUUGGAAAAGGGGCGAAAGCCUGAUCCAGCCAUACCGCGUGGGUGAAGAAGGCCUUCGGGUUGUAAAGCCCUUUUGUUGGGAAAAAAAAGCAGCAGGUUAAUACCCCGCUGUUCUGACGGUACCCAAAGAAUAAGCACCGGCUAACUUCGG